rnacentral:rRNA from 1 species
CCUACGGGGGGCAGCAGUGGGGAAUAUUGGACAAUGGGGGCAACCCUGAUCCAGCCAUGCCGCGUGUGUGAAGAAGGCCCUCGGGUUGUAAAGCACUUUCAGUGAGGAAGAACGCCUGGUGGUUAAUACCCAUCAGGAAAGACAUCACUCACAGAAGAAGCACCGGCUAACUCCGUGCCAGCAGCCGCGGUAAUACGGAGGGUGCGAGCGUUAAUCGGAAUUACUGGGCGUAAAGCGCGCGUAGGUGGCUUGAUAAGCCGGUUGUGAAAGCCCCGGGCUCAACCUGGGAACGGCAUCCGGAACUGUCAAGCUAGAGUGCAGGAGAGGAAGGUAGAAUUCCCGGUGUAGCGGUGAAAUGCGUAGAGAUCGGGAGGAAUACCAGUGGCGAAGGCGGCCUUCGGGACUGACACUGACACUGAGGUGCGAAAGCGUGGGUAGCAAACAGGAUUAGUACCCCGGUAGUC